CGCCUUCUUGGUGUGUACUUACUCAACGGGGACUUACCUCCUGGUGAGCUGCGAUGUCCUUUACUGGGUGUCGUAGGGAACCAGGACGUUUACUUUGAAAAAAUUAGAGUGUUCAAAGCAGGCCUACGCCCGAAUACAUUAGCAUGGAAUAAUAGAAUAGGACGAGCGGUCCCAUUUUGUUGGUUUCUGAGAUCGCCGUAAUGAUUAAUAGGGAUAGUUGGGGGCAUUCGUAUUCCGUCGU
rnacentral:rRNA from 1 species